rnacentral:rRNA from 1 species
AACGAACGCUGGCGGCAUGCCUAACACAUGCAAGUCGAACGAGACCUUCGGGUCUAGUGGCGCACGGGUGCGUAACGCGUGGGAAUCUGCCCUUCGGUUGGGAAUAACUGAGAGAAAUUUCAGCUAAUACCUUAUAAUGUCUUCGGACCAAAGAUUUAUCGCCGAGGGAUGAGCCCGCGUAGGAUUAGGUAGUUGGUGGGGUAAUGGCCUACCAAGCCGACGAUCCUUAGCUGGUCUGAGAGGAUGAUCAGCCACACUGGGACUGAGACACGGCCCAGACUCCUACGGGAGGCAGCAGUGGGGAAUAUUGGACAAUGGGCGAAAGCCUGAUCCAGCAAUGCCGCGUGAGUGAUGAAGGCCUUAGGGUUGUAAAGCUCUUUUACCCGGGAUGAAAAUGACAGUACCGGGAGAAUAAGCUCCGGCUAACUCCGUGCCAGCAGCCGCGGUAA